AGUUCAGAGUUGGCAGACCGCAGCUCUGGGCCAUCCGGCAAGCCGAAGGUGCCGCUCGAGUUCAAGGACUUCGAGCCGCCACCUGACAAAAACUGCCGGACCAUUCUCUAUUAAAGUUUCUUCUUCAUCCUUCGUAGGAUUGCUGUUGCAUAUAUUGCCCGACACCAAACCGAAGAAGUUGUCGAUCACUUUGGACUUUUCUCAAACAGGGUGUUGUCCGGUGAUUGAAUUUCUCUUCACACAAGGACAGAUUGUGAAGGAGAUUUUGUAAACUAUCAGCAGCAGUAGAGAACGAGGCACAAAGAAUAAAGGAAAUUGAUGGACCCAA
rnacentral:lncRNA from 1 species